rnacentral:misc_RNA from 2 species
AAUUCGAUAGUUUGUUUCUUUCUCUCCGCCCCAUGCCCUCACGGGUGGUGGGGUGGACGUCAGGCAGGCCUCGUGUUCCUGGCAUGCCUUGCUAAGUUGCGUGGCGGCCUUGGCCCAUGAGAUUCUUUGCCCGUGCUCUCGGAUGCAGAAUGUUAUGUGUUGCGGGUGGGUGGUCUCGCUCGGAGGCCUCCAUCUACUAAAGUAAUGCAUUAUGUCCAACGACGCGAACGACUGGUAUGCCCGUUUUGAUCCUUCCGGCCUCACGGGGCUCAUG